GUCGUGGCUCAGUGGUACAGUGCUUGCCUAGCAUGUGUGAGGCACUGGGUUCAAUUCUCAGCACCACA
rnacentral:tRNA from 1 species